AAUCCAUGAUGUGGACAUUUCCUUAACAAUUCCCUAAACCUUUUCCAAGUUUCACAUAAUGAAUCACCAUCAUGUUGGUUAAAACCGUUAUAUCCAAAGUUU